rnacentral:rRNA from 1 species
UACAUAGGUCUCAAGCGUUGUUCGGAUUCAUUGGGCGUAAAGGGUGCGUAGGUGGCGCGGUAAGUCGGGUGUGAAAUUUCGGAGCUUAACUCCGAAACUGCAUUCGAUACUGCCGUGCUUGAGGACUGGAGAGGAGACUGGAAUUUACGGUGUAGCAGUGAAAUGCGUAGAGAUCGUAAGGAAGACCAGUGGCGAAGGCGGCUCUCUGGGACGGUACUGACGCUGAGACGCGAAAGCGUGGGGAGCGAACAGG